rnacentral:rRNA from 1 species
CCCUUAGAUGUUCUGGGCCGCACGCGCGCUACACUGAUGAAUUCAACGAGCUCCUAACCUAGGCCGAAGGGUCCGGGUAAUCUUUGAAAUUUCAUCGUGAUGGGGAUAGAUUAUUGCAAUUAUUAAUCUUCAACGAGGAAUUCCUAAUAAGCGCGAGUCAUCAGCUCGCGUUGAUUACGUCCCUGCCCUUUGUACACACCGCCCGUCGCUCCUACCGAUUGAAUGGUCCGGUGAAAUGUUCGGAUCGCGGCAAAUCGGACGGGUAACCGUCAGGUUCGCUGCGAGAAGUUCAUUAAACCUUAUCAUUUAGAGGAAGGAGAAGUCGUAACA